GAUGAAGAACGUAUCGAAAUGCGAUACUUGGUGUGAAUUGCAGAAUCCCGUGAACCAUCGAGUCUUUGAACGCAAGUUGCGCCCGAAGCCACUAGGCCGAGGGCACGCCUGCCUGGGCGUCACACGCCGUUGCCCCCCCAUCUACUCCUUCGGGAUUGCGGGGGGGCGGAUGAUGGCCUCCCGUGCGCCUAGCCGCGCGGUUGGCAUAAAUACCAAGUCCUCGGCGACGCACGCCACGACAAUCGGUGGUUGCGAAACCUCGGUUGCCCGUCGUGUGCGUUCGUCGCGCAUCGAGGGCUCGAAAAAAUGCUCGGCUCCGGCUGGGCUUUCAACGCGACCCCAGGUCAGGCGGGGUUACCCGCUGAAUUUAAGCAUAUCAAUAAGCGGAGGA
rnacentral:misc_RNA from 1 species